AGCUUUCUGAAUCCGUGCUGAGAUUUCGCCAGUCGCCAACCUAUUUGGACUGGUCAGACUUCCAAGAUAAGUGAAAUU
rnacentral:pre_miRNA from 1 species